GAUGAACGCUGGCGGCGUGCUUAACACAUGCAAGUCGAACGGUGAAGGCGGAGCUUGCUCUGCUGGAUCAGUGGCGAACGGGUGAGUAACACGUGAGCAAUCUGCCCCUGACUCUGGGAUAAGCGCUGGAAACGGCGUCUAAUACUGGAUACGAGCUGCGAAGGCAUCUUCAGCAGCUGGAAAGAACUUCGGUCAGGGAUGAGCUCGCGGCCUAUCAGCUUGUUGGUGAGGUAACGGCUCACCAAGGCGUCGACGGGUAGCCGGCCUGAGAGGGUGACCGGCCACACUGGGACUGAGAGACGGCCCAGACUCCUACGGGAGGCAGCAGUGGGGAAUAUUGCACAAUGGGCGAAAGCCUGAUGCAGCAACGCCGCGUGAGGGACGACGGCCUUCGGGUUGUAAACCUCUUUUAGCAGGGAAGAAGCGAAAGUGACGGUACCUGCAGAAAAAGCGCCGGCUAACUACGUG
rnacentral:rRNA from 1 species